GCCGAAUUGGUGGAAUUGGCAGACACGACGCACUCAAAAUGCGUUGCCUUCGGGUGUGAGGGUUCGAGUCCCUCAUUCGGCA
rnacentral:tRNA from 1 species